UACGGAGGGGGCUAGCGUUGUUCGGAAUUACUGGGCGUAAAGCGCACGUAGGCGGCUUUGUAAGUUAGAGGUGAAAGCCCAGGGCUUAACCCUGGAAUUGCCUUUAAAACUGCAUCGCUAGAAUUGUGGAGAGGUAAGUGGAAUUCCGAGUGUAGAGGUGAAAUUCGUAGAUAUUCGGAAGAACACCAGUGGCGAAGGCGGCUCACUGGCCCGGUACUGACGCUGAGAUACGAAAGCGUGGGGAGCAAACAGG
rnacentral:rRNA from 1 species